CCUGCAUAAACGCAAGAUCCACAUGACCAGAAAGUUUAAACUCAGAAUAAUAUGAGUCCUGCAGAAACCGGCUCCUAACCUAACCUUGCAUUUUUACAAGAUCCAUUGCAAGACGGUUAGAGGCAGAACAAAAGACCUUAAGUUCAUCUGGAUUUUUAAGUUCAAUCUUGAACAACCAACCUGGAAACAAAGGAAACAUUCUUAUGAAAACGGAAACAAAAUAAUAUAAUAUAUGCAGCUUGCAUUACUAUCAUCAACAAAUGAACAACGGGAAAGAAAUUUAUUUCAGGAAUGAAAAGGGAAACUAUGUCUCUGCGGAGCUGCAGCCACUAAUGGGCCCUUUUUCCAGCCCCCAAAUGAUACAUGAGAAAAUAUGAAAAAACAGUGGAGUGAUAAUGACAGGGAAAAACUCAAGAACUUGGAGAAAAGCCACUGUGUCCAUAUCCAAUCCCACAUGGGCUGCCCUGGAUUCAAAGCCAAGCAAGUAACCUGCAACUGACUGACUGUCUGGGCUAUGGCACAGCCUCGGCUAGGUGUGUACCACCUUGUAUGAAGACGUAUCUACCACAAAUAUAUUUACAAAUUCUAUAUGAAUAUUAUGUUUUAUAUGUUAAAAAUUAUAAAUAUGGUAAUGGUCAGAAAAUACCAGGUAGUAAUAUGAAAUUAUACACAGAAUUGAUAACCAAAUUACAUAAUUAUAACUCUGUAGUUCUUAUUAAUCUAACCAUAAAAAAUUAAACAUUUGAAAGAAAGGAAGUGUGAUUAAAAUUAUGUAAUUUAUUGUUAUUCUUAAAUCGGCACACUCAUAACCCACAAUGCGAUGUUUUUCAGUUUCUUAAUAUGUUAAUGUGUAGUUUUAAACAGAUUACAUCUUGUGUUAUAUUUUAA